GCGGUUGUGGCUGAGUGGUUAAGGCGUUGGGUUACAACCCCAAGGGGGCUAUUAUCCCCGCGUAGGUUCGAAUCCUACCAACCGCA